UGAACGCUGGCGGUAUGCCUUACACAUGCAAGUCGUACGAGAGUUUUUAACUCAAGUGGCGGACGGGUGAGUAACACGUAAGAAUUUGCCUUUAGGAGGGGGAUAACAACUGGAAACGGUUGCUAAUACCCCAUAUGCUUUCGAGUGAAAUGGAUUUCCGCCUAGAGAGAAGCUUGCGGCUGAUUAGCUUGUUGGUGAGGUAAUGGCUCACCAAGGCGACGAUCAGUAUCUGGUUUGAGAGGACGAUCAGACACACUGGAACUGAGACACGGUCCAGACUCCUACGGGAGGCAGCAGUGGGGAAUUUUCCGCAAUGGGCGAAAGCCUGACGGAGCAAUACCGCGUGAGGGAUGACGGCCUAUGGGUUGUAAACCUCUUUUUUCAGGGAGGAAUCAAUGACGUGUACCUGAAGAAUAAGCAUCGG
rnacentral:rRNA from 1 species